rnacentral:lncRNA from 1 species
ACAUAGUUUGAGUAAGUUACUUCCAAGCAUGGUUAGUCCGUCGGUUUAUGAAAAAGAAAGAACAGUUGUAGUCUUUGGGAACUGGAUCUGGUUAUCAGUUUAAAUUACUAAUUUUGCUCUCUUUUAUUUUUCUUGUCAUGUCUCGCAUGAAGAAAGAACUCAUUUAAUUUGAUUCUUUAUGUAAAGUUUUGCUACUAUCUAGUUUCAUUUUCUUUAUUUCAGCAAAAAAAAAAUGUUAAGCUUGGUUUUGACAUUGGAUGUGAUUUGAAUUUCUAUAAUACCAAAAACCUGUUCAGGUUCAAGUAGAUUUCGAUGACAAAGGCAGCUGGGAAUAUCUAUUC